CCUGAUGAAUUUUCUGGAUUUGUGCAAUCUGGAUGCUGUGUGGAGAUCUGAAAUUUUGGAUUAUAUUAUUGUAAGUAUUUAUGUAAAAUUAGAAAAAAGAAAAAAAUAGGGCCCCACUUGAGUCUUUAGAGCGGAAUGGUUGGGAUCCCUCUAUCUUUAUCUUGAGUAUCCGCCUCUAUCUUUAUCUUGAGUAUCCGAAAUGAAAGGAUUUUGCUGAAAGCUUCACCUCCAGAAUCGGGCUCUACAAUGCAAGUAUAGUCGGGCGUCAAUGUGGAUAUCAGACACCGGGUGAGAAAAGAAAGUACCGAGCUUUUAAACAUAG
rnacentral:lncRNA from 1 species